rnacentral:tRNA from 1 species
UGGGACGUCGGCAAGCGGUCAAGCCAUCGGAUUUUGGAUCCGAUAUUCGCAGGUUCAAAUCCUGCCGUCCCAG